UACAGAGGUCUCAAGCGUUGUUCGGAUUCAUUGGGCGUAAAGGGUGCGUAGGUGGCGCGCUAAGUCAGGUGUGAAAAUUUCGGAGCUUAACUCCGAAACUGCAUUUGAUACUGGCGUGCUUGAGGACUGGAGAGGAGACUGGAAUUCACGGUGUAGCAGUGAAAUGCGUAGAGAUCGUGAGGAAGACCAGUGGCGAAGGCGGGUCUCUGGACAGUUCCUGACACUGAGGCAGCGAAGGCCAGGGGAGCAAACGGG
rnacentral:rRNA from 1 species